rnacentral:rRNA from 1 species
GACGAACGCUGGCGGCGUGCUUAACACAUGCAAGUCGAACGGAAAGGCCCUGCUUUUGUGGGGUUCUCGAGUGGCGAACGCGUGAGUAACACGUGUGUAUCCUGCCCUUGACUUUGGGAUAACUUCACGAAACUGCGGCUAUUACCGGAUAGGAGCUCCUGCUCCAUGUUGGUGGUUGGAAAGUUUCGGUGGUUCUGGCUAGACUCGCUGCUUACCAGCUUGUUGGUGGAGUAGUGGCUUACAAAGGGUUAGACGGAUAGCCGGCAUGAGAGGGUUACCGGGCACAAUGGGACUGAGAGACGCCCCAGAAGGCUACGGGAGGCAGCAGUGGAGAAUAUGGCACAAUGAGGGGAAGCCAGAGGCAACAACGCCGCGAGCGGGAUGACGGGCUACGGGGUGAAAACAGCUGUGGCAUGUGACGAAGAGUGAGUGACGGUAAUGGGUAAAGAAGCACCGGCUAACUACGUG